rnacentral:rRNA from 1 species
UACGUAGGGGGCAAGCGUUGUCCGGAAUCAUUGGGCGUAAAGAGCGUGUAGGCUGCCCGGUAAGUCCGCUGUGAAAGUCGGGGGCUCAACCCUCGAAUGCCGGUGGAUACUGUCGGGCUAGAGUGCGGAAGAGGCGAGUGGAAUUCCUGGUGUAGCGGUGAAAUGCGCAGAUAUCAGGAGGAACACCAAUUGCGAAGGCAGCUCGCUGGGACGUAACUGACGCUGAGACGCGAAAGCGUGGGGAGCAAACAGG